AGUGAACGCUGGCGAUAGGCCUAACACAUGCAAGUCGAACGGCAGCACAGUCAGAGCUUGCCCUUCCGGAUGGCGCGUGGCGGACGGGUGAGGGUAACACCGAUAUCUCCUUUCUCGUGGGGGAUAACGUAGGGACACUAACGCUAAUACUGCAUACGACUUUCGGGUGACAGCAGGGGAUCUUCGACCCAUGCGCGACUGAAUGAGCCGAUGUCGGAUUACCUAGUUGGCGGGGCAAAGGCCCACCAAGGCGACGAUCCGUAGCUGGGCUGAGAGGAUGAAAAGCCACACUGGAUGGGAGACACGGACCAGACUCCUACGUGAGGCAGCAGUGGGUGAUAUAGGACAAUGGGCGCAAGGCUGAUCCAGCCAUACCGCGUGGGUGAAGAAGGCCUUCGCGUUGUAUAGCACUUUGGUUGGGAUAGAAAAUCAGCAGGGGAAUGCCCGGCUGUUCGGACGGUACCCAAAGAAUAAGCACCGGCAAUCUUCGU
rnacentral:rRNA from 1 species